AACGAACGCUGGCGGCAUGCCUAACACAUGCAAGUCGAACGAGACCUUCGGGUCUAGUGGCGCACGGGUGCGUAACGCGUGGGAACCUGCCCUUAGGUUCGGAAUAACUCCCCGAAAGGGGUGCUAAUACCGGAUAAUGUCUUCGGACCAAAGAUUUAUCGCCUUUGGAUGGGCCCGCGUUGGAUUAGCUAGUUGGUAGGGUAAAAGCCUACCAAGGCGACGAUCCAUAGCUGGUCUGAGAGGAUGAUCAGCCACACUGGGACUGGGACACGGCCCAGACUCCUACGGGAGGCAGGAGAGGGGAAUAUUGGAAAAUGGGGUGAAGGCUGAACCAGCAAUGCCCGGUGAAUGAUGAAAGCCGUAGGGUUGGAAAGCUCUUUUACCCGGGAUGAUAAUGACAGUACCGGGAGAAUAAGCUCCGGCUAACUCCGUG
rnacentral:rRNA from 1 species